AGGAGCCAUAUUCCAGCUGUUCUCAGACUUUUCCAUUUCUGGAAGCCUACCCCUCCUUCAGCUCCAACCACAUAUGUCCACACAAUAGAAAUUCAGUCAUUCUCCAAGAGGCAACUUGCUUGAUGACAAUCAGCAGUCCUGCCACUUUCAGAUGUCGCCAGCUAUCUCUUGCUGCUGCUUUAUUUCAGGUUUGAAGUUCCCUCUGUUCUUUGCUCUUUUCUGGUUGAAAAAUCCUUCCCACCCUGGUGUUUAAAUACUUGGGAAAGCAUUUUCAAAAGACCCAAAAAUGUAUGUGGGAUACUUGAGAUUUUGUUUAAAAAGAAAUUAAAAAGGAAUAAACUUUCAGAGUCCUGUUGUAUGA